GACGAACUCUGGCGGCGUGCCUCAUACAUGCCCGACUACCGCUGAACAAAGGAGCUUGCUCUUCUUGGAUGACUUGCGAACGGGUGAGUAACGCUCAGGUUACCUGCCUGGUAACGCGGGAUAACUAUUGUAGACGAUAGCUAAUACCCCAUAACAAUGGGUGACUCAUGUCAUUUAUUUGACCGGGGCAAAUGCUCCACUACCAGAUGGACCUGCGUUGUAUUACCUACCAGGUGAGGUAACGGCUCACCGACGCGACUAUCCCUCGCCGACCUGAUAGGGUGAUCGGCCCCACUGGGACUGAGACACGGCCCAUACUCCUACUGGAGGCAUGAUCACGAAAUCUUCGGCUAUGGGGGCAACCCUGACCGAACGACGCCGCCUGAGUGAAGAACGUUUUCGGAUCUCUAAAGCUCUGUUGUGCGUCAAGAACGAGUGCGAGACUGGAAAGUUCACACUGAGACGGUAGCUUACCACAAAGGGACGGCUAACUACAUGCCAACGCCCGCGGUGAUACAUAAGUCCCUAGCGGUUUCCGGAUUUAUUGUGCGUUCAGCUAGCGCAUGCAGUUUGAUAAGUCUGAAUUUAGAGGGUGUGGCUCAACCAUAGUUCGCUUUGGAAACUGUCAAACUUGAGUGCAGAAGGGGAGAGUUGGAAUUCCAUGUGUAGCGGUGAAAUGCGUAGAUAUAUGGAGGAACACCGGUGGUGAAAGCGGCUCUAUGGUCUGUAACUGACGUUGAGGCUCGAAAGCGUGGGGAGCGAACAGGAUUAGAUACCGUGGUAGUCCACGCCGUAAACGAUGAGUGUUAGGUGUUGGAUCCUUUCCGGGAUUCAGUGCCGCAGCUAACGCAUUAAGCACUCCGCCUGGGGAGUACGACCGCAAGGUUGAAACUCAAAGGAAUUGACGGGGGCCCGCACAAGCGGUGGAGCAUGUGGUUUAAUUCGAAGCAACGUGAAGAACCUUAGCAGGUCUUGACAUCCCGAUGUUAUUUCUAGAGAUAGAAAGUUAGUUCGGUACAUCGGUGCCAGGUGGUGCAUGGUUGUCGUCAGCUCGUGUCGUGAGAUGUUGGGUUAAGUCCCGCACCGAGCGCAACCCCUAUUGUUAGUUGCCAUCAUUCAUUUGGGCACUGUAGAGAGAUUGCCGGUAAUAAACCGGAGGAAGGUGGGGAUGACUUCAAAUCAUCAUGCCCCUUAUGUCCUGGGCUACACACGUGAUACAAUGGUUGGUACAACGAGUUGUGAGUCGGUGUCGUGCAAGCUAAUCUAUUAAAGCCAAUAUCAGUUCGGAUUGUAGGCUGCAAUUUGCAGACAAGCAGUCGGAAUUGUUAGUAAUCGCGGAUCAGCACGCGGCGGUGAAUACGUUCCCGGUCCU
rnacentral:rRNA from 1 species